UUAGAUGUAGCAUAACUCAAAUGUAACCGUUUUCGGCGCGGUGGAUGGGUUAGUUCCCCUUCUAUU
rnacentral:tRNA from 1 species